AGUCGAGGGGCAGCGGGGGUGCAGGCUUGCCUGCGCCUGCCGGCGACCGGCGCACGGGUGAGUAACACGUAUGGAACCUGCCCGCCACAGGGGGAUAACCCGGGGAAACCCGGCCUAAUACCCCAUGCCGUCCGGACCGGGCAUCCGGUCCGGGCGAAAGGAGGAAUCCGGUGGCGGCUGGGCAUGCGGCGCAUUAGCUUGACGGCGGGGUAACGGCCCACCGUGGCGACGAUGCGUAGGGGUUCUGAGAGGAAGGCCCCCCACACUGGAACUGAGACACGGUCCAGACUCCUACGGGAGGCAGCAGUGAGGAAUAUUGGUCAAUGGGCGGAAGCCUGAACCAGCCAAGUCGCGUGAGGGAAUAAGGCCCUACGGGUCGUAAACCUCUUUUGCCGGGGAGCAAGGGCCGGGACGCGUCCCGGCCCGGAGAGUACCCGGAGAAAAAGCAUCGGCUAACUCCGUGCCAGCAGCCGCGGUAAUACGGAGGAUGCGAGCGUUAUCCGGAUUUAUUGGGUUUAAAGGGUGCGUAGGCGGGCUUUUAAGUCAGCGGUAAAAAUUCGGGGCUCAACCCCGUCCGGCCGUUGAAACUGGGGGCCUUGAGUGGGCGAGAAGAAGGCGGAAUGCGUGGUGUAGCGGUGAAAUGCAUAGAUAUCACGCAGAACCCCGAUUGCGGAGGCAGCCUUCCGGCGCCCUACUGACGCUGAGGCACGAAAGUGCGGGGAUCGAACAGGAUUAGAUACCCUGGUAGUCCGCACAGUAAACGAUGGAUGCCAGCUGUCCGGGCCGAAUGGGGCCUGGG
rnacentral:rRNA from 1 species